UCCGGUCUCACAAUGUGACUAUAGUGGUUUAUUUGAACAAACAUAGGGAAACAUAAGUAAUAUACUAAAAUGUUUGCUUGAGGAGAGUACAAUCUAACACCUUAUCCCCUGUCUAUUUCGUAGAAAAUAUACUGCUUGACUACUUGAGCAGGGAAAUUCUUCAGGAGGGAGAAAACCCCAGAAAUUUCCAUCAAAUAAAAAUAAAAAGGGUUACACCAGUCCUGGAUUUGUUUGUGACAAAGCAAAGAUGUUAAGUUCAGGAUUUCUCAUUAUCUUUUAAGGACCAUCCUCUUUUGACAGAUGCUGUGUUUUAGCUCUUGACAAGAGGUCUUCUGUAUGCCUAUCCCCCUUUCUCCUUAAUUGCCGGGACUCUAAUAAGGAUCAUGAAAGAGAAAGCACUUGGUCUUGUUGAUUGCCCCACCUUGGCCCAAAAUACCAUGGUUUCCUCUCCUCUGUUUGUCUGCAGGACACUUCUGAAGCUUUCCUCUGGUGCACAGCAUUCUCAUGCAGUGCCCUGUAAGGGGAAAGGGUCUGAAAUUCAGUCUUUACUACUCUCCGCAGCCACAAACCUAACAGUUUGAACAUGAAAAAUGUCUAAUCUGCCAGAUACUGUAUAACCUUGAUUUUGGAGUUCCUGUAGUCUAGCCUAGACAAGGGACAUAAGACAAUCACCUUGAAAGCACAAUUUUAUUUUGAAAGGUUCUAGUAGACUGUGUCCAUCAUUUCUUUCCUUGGUGCCCCUUGAAUUUGAUCCUUUAAAUUUUCAUGGAUUUACAUUUUCUUGCAUUUGCCAGUUACCACAGCCAGAAGAAAUCAAGGAAAUAGGAAAUCUAAGUAUUCUCCUGCAAAGCUCACUUUAUUACUGUCUAAGAAGGUAGAAUUGUUCUCAGGCAUCUUUUUCGACCUAAAGUUGGCCAUAAAUUUCAACAAAAAAAGGUCUUCUUUCAGACCUUCCUCUUCUUUGGUACAAUAAUGCAGGUUAUAUAACUUGCAUGCGCGCAGAUGUCUUCUUGCUUAUGACAGAAGGACGGAGGAAAAUCUGACCAUCUUCUGCUUCAGUAUCAUGUCAAGAACAUAGAAUGUGCUGGAAGUAAGACAACUGUAGCUGACAGGAUUAAACCUUUUAGCUUCAUUCAGGAACUUCUCUAAUGACAUGUUACCUCCUAAGGGCCCGAAAGCACAAUCUACUAGAGCUGUUGCCACUGCCUUGACUAAGGGUGUUCUUCAAACAAUACAAUUUGGAUGUUCUUACUAACCAGGUGAUACCCUCAGUCUGGAAGGUUCUGUUGGUGGAUGUCCCACCAUAGGGGUUUUAUUUCUGUUAUACUGUGAAGAUUGAUUACUUGCCGGUAAUUGGUUUUUCCUUCACAGUCGAAGUUUUUUCUACCCUUCUUAUUAUGCUUUUUUAUUAUUCAAUCUUGAAUGUCCUUUUCCACCAUUUUAAUGUCAUAUGUCACAAACUAGAAAAUGUUAUACUGGUGAGUGGGUGGGAACCUUCAUGUCAGGCCAUUGUGGAACCUAACAGAAAAUGUAAGGCUAUUGAAGGGCCAAACAGAGGAGAGGCUUAAUAGUUAGAAGUAUUUUAUUUCUAGAUUUUCUCAUUCAUUCAGCAAUUCACUCAGUGUAGACUUGAAUCUGGGACUUUAUUGAAACAUAUUAGCUUAUCUUUAGAUU